rnacentral:rRNA from 1 species
AGGACGACGCUGGCGGCGUGCCUAACACAUGCAAGUCGAGCGAGGAGAUUCCUUCGGGAUGAUCCUAGCGGCGGACGGGUGAGUAACACGUGGGCAACCUGCCUCAUAGAGAGGAAUAGCCUUCCGAAAGGGAGAUUAAUACCUCAUAACAUUGCAGUUUCGCAUGAAACAGCAAUUAAAGGAGCAAUCCGCUAUGAGAUGGGCCCGCGGCGCAUUAGCUAGUUGGUGAGGUAACGGCUCACCAAGGCGACGAUGCGUAGCCGACCUGAGAGGGUGAUCGGCCACAUUGGGACUGAGACACGGCCCAGACUCCUACGGGAGGCAGCAGUGGGGAAUAUUGCACAAUGGGGGAAACCCUGAUGCAAGCAACGCCGCGUGAGUGAUGACGGCCUUCGGGUUGUAAAGCUCUGUCUUCAGGGACGAUAAUGACGGUACCUGAGGAGGAAGCCACGGCUAACUACGUGCCAGCAGCGGC